rnacentral:rRNA from 1 species
UACGGAGGGUGCAAUCGUUGCUCGGAAUCACUGGGCGUAAAGGGCGUGUAGGCGGUCCGCUAAGUCUGAUGUGAAAGCCCGGGGCUCACCCCCGGAAGGGCAUUGGAAACUGGCGGACUCGAGUCUCGGAGAGGAAGGUGGAAUUCCUGGUGUAGCGGUGAAAUGCGUAGAUAUCAGGAGGAACACCGGUGGCGAAGGCGGAUCUCUGGGCCUUACCUGACGCUGAGGCGCGAAAGCUAGGGGAGCGAACAGG